rnacentral:rRNA from 1 species
GAUGAAAAUUCUAAGGCGCUUGAGAGAACUCAGGAGAAGGAACUCGGCAAAUUGAUACCGUAACUUCGGGAGAAGGUAUGCCCCGUUAGCUUGUAGGAGCACAUCCGAAGGGCGAAGGGGCCGCAGAGAAUCGGUGGCUGCGACUGUUUAUUAAAAACACAGCACUCUGCAAACACGAAAGUGGACGUAUAGGGUGUGACGCCUGCCCGGUGCCGGAAGGUUAAUUGAUGGGGUCAGCCGCAAGGCGAAGCUCUUGAUCGAAGCCCCGGUAAACGGCGGCCGUAACUAUAACGGUCCUAAGGUAGCGAAAUUCCUUGUCGGGUAAGUUCCGACCUGCACGAAUGGCGUAACGAUGGCCACACUGUCUCCUCCUGAGACUCAGCGAAGUUGAAGUGUUUGUGAAGAUGCAAUCUCCCCGCGGCUAGACGGAAAGACCCCAUGAACCUUUACUGUAGCUUUGCAUUGGACUUUGACGGGACUUGUGUAGGAUAGGUGGGAGGCAUUGAGACCGGGACGCUAGUUCCGGUGGAGCCAACCUUGAAAUACCACCCUGGUGUCGUUGAGGUUCUAACCCAGGUCUGUGAAUCCAGAUCGGGGACCGUGCAUGGUGGGCAGUUUGACUGGGGCGGUCUCCUCCCAAAAGGUAACGGAGGAGUACGAAGGUCUUCUAGGUACGGUCGGACAUCGUACUGAUAGUGCAAUGGCAAAAGAAGGCUUGACUGCGAGACCGACAAGUCGAGCAGGUGCGAAAGCAGGUCAUAGUGAUCCGGUGGUUCUGUAUGGAAGGGCCAUCGCUCAACGGAUAAAAGGUACUCUGGGGAUAACAGGCUGAUUCCGCCCAAGAGUUCACAUCGACGGCGGAGUUUGGCACCUCGAUGUCGGCUCAUCACAUCCUGGGGCUGUAGCCGGUCCCAAGGGUAUGGCUGUUCGCCAUUUAAAGUGGUACGUGAGCUGGGUUUAAAACGUCGUGAGACAGUUUGGUCCCUAUCUGCCGUGGGCGCUGGAUAUUUGAGGGGGCCUGCUCCUAGUACGAGAGGACCGGAGUGGACGAAUCUCUGGUGUACCGGUUGUGACGCCAGUCGCAUCGCCGGGUAGCUAAAUUCGGAAGAGAUAACCGCUGAAAGCAUCUAAGCGGGAAACUCGCCUCAAGAUGAGAUAUCCCUGGGAACUUGAUUCCCCUAAAGGGUCGUUGAAGACCACGACGUUGAUAGGCUGGGUGUGGAAGCGCAGUAAUGCGUUAAGCUAACCAGUACUAAUUGCCCGUGAGGCUUGAUCCU